GAAUUAAUCACAUCGACGUCCAAUGACAGUGGCCAUAUCGAUGACGCUUUUGUUCGCAUUACAAUGUGCACGUACAAUGAGAUCAAUAUAAUUUGAUGCAUGAUUAAUCUGCUAUUACGGCCGAAUAUCUUGGCAAGUUUGCAUUACAUCCAUACACGUUAUCCACGCCGAAAAAUCAUGUGGGUGUAAAAAUUUUAGCGGCGUGACAUUGAUGCGAAAAUAGCUGUCGGGCUGGCGAUUGUAUAUCUUGAAGAUGUGGUUUUGCACAUCAAGAACAGAAAGAUAACUCUUGCGAAUAAUGAUGGAGAAGUUCUCAGAGAAACAAUUUCGAUUUGUCAAUGGAUCUUUAGCCAGAAUUGGCUUUUUACUGGUGGUAGGACCUCUUGUGAGUUCGCGCGGGUGGGUACCACAACCCUGCCUCUUUCUGCCGUGAAGCAGUAAUGCGUUUCGGUUUGAAGGAUGGGGCAGCCGUUGUAACUAUACGUGAGACCUUAGAACUUAUAUCUCAAGGUGGGUGGCGCAUUUACGUUGUGGAUGUCUAUGGGCUCCAGUAACUACUUAACACCAGGUGGGCUGUGAGCUCGUACACCCAUGAAAGCAAUAAAAAAAAUUUGGUACCUAAUGAAAAAAACGUUGCGUGUAAUAAUAAAAUACCUUGCUUAGACUUUGGCGAAUCCUGUAUCUAAGAGUAAAAAUUAUUAUUAAAAAAGCAAAAAUUAUAUUCCACGAUA